rnacentral:rRNA from 1 species
UCUGACCUCGAAUCAGGUAGGAAUACCCGCUGAACUUAAGCAUAUCAAUAAGCGGAGGAAAAGAAACCAACCGGGAUUACCUCAGUAACGGCGAGUGAAGCGGUAACAGCUCAAAUUUGAAAUCUGGCUCCUCUGGAGUCCGAGUUGUAAUUUGUAGAAGAUGCUUUGGGUGAUGGGUUCGGCCUAAGUUCCUUGGAACAGGACGUCAUAGAGGGUGAGAAUCCCGUAUGUGGCCGAGGCCCACGCCUAUGUAAAGCUCUUUCAACGAGUCGAGUUGUUUGGGAAUGCAGCUCAAAAUGGGUGGUAAAUUUCAUCUAAAGCUAAAUAUGGGCCAGAGACCGAUAGCGCACAAGUAGAGUGAUCGAAAGAUGAAAAGCACUUUGGAAAGAGAGUUAAACAGUACGUGAAAUUGUUGAAAGGGAAGCGCUUGCACCCAGACUUGGGCGCUGCUGAUCACCUUGCGGUCUCCGCGAGUGCACUCGACAGCGCACAGGCCAGCAUCGGUUCGGGUGGCUGGAUAAAGGCUGUAGGAACGUAGCUCCCUCCGGGGAGUGUUAUAGCCUACGGUGCCAUGCAGCCCAGCCGGACCGAGGACCGCGCCUUCGGGCUAGGAUGCUGGCGUAAUGGGUGUAAGCGACCCGUCUUGAAACACGGACCAAGGAGUCUAACAUCUAUGCGAGUGUUUGGGUGGUAAACCCAUACGCGGAAUGAAAGUGAAUGUAGGUGAGAACCCCUUUGGGGCGCAUCAUCGACCGAUCCUGAUGUCUUCGGAUGGAUUUGAGUAAGAGCAUAGC